rnacentral:rRNA from 1 species
UUGGAGGGCAAGUCUGGUGCCAGCAGCCGCGGUAAUUCCAGCUCCAAUAGCGUAUAUUAAAGUUGUUGCAGUUAAAAAGCUCGUAGUUGAAUUUCGGGAUCAAUGUUUCGGUCAUGUCGUUGGUAUGUACUGAUAUUAUUGAUUUCUCACCUUCUAAAGAACCGUAAUGCCAUUAAUUUGGUGUCACGGGGAAUUAGGACUGUUACCUUGAAAAAAUUAGAGUGUUUAAAGCAGGCUCACGCUUGAAUACAUUAGCAUGGAAUAAUGAAAUAGGACAUCCGAUUCUAUUUUGUUGGUUUCUAGGAUCGAUGUAAUGAUUAAUAGGGAUAGUUGGGGGCAUUAGUAUUCAAUUGUCAGAGGUGAAAUUCUUGGAUUUAUUGAAGACUAACUACUGCGAAAGCAUUUGCCAAGGAUGUUUUCAUUAAUCAAGAACGAAAGUUAGGGGAUCGAAGACGAUCAGAUACCGUCGUAGUCUUAACCAUAAACUAUGCCGACUAGGGAUCGGAUGAUGUUAAUUUUUUAAUGACUCAUUCGGCGCCUUACGGGAAAC